CGUAUAGCUGGCCUUGUCGCUUCAAGAUUUAUCAUGAAGAGGAAAGUCCGGACAUCACAGAGCACCGCGCUUCCUAACAGGAAGGCGGCACAGCCUUCGGGCUGGGUCGAUAGAUAGUGCCGCAGAAAGGUAGACCGCCAUCGGCCUCGUACGAGUCGAUUUGGUAAGGGUGAAAAGGUGAGGUAAGAGCUCACCAGUGGAGCAGGUAACUGCUUCAGCUAGGUAAACCUCGCGGGAUGAAAUGCCAUGUAGGCUAGGGUUUGAGAACGGUUCGUUCGACCUGGCGGGUAGGCAGAUAGAGCGUCAUGGUGACAUGCCGCCUAGAGGAAUGACAGGGACACGCCGUGAGGCGUGAACAGAAUCCGGCUUAUACAGCUGUACGCUUU
rnacentral:RNase_P_RNA from 1 species